rnacentral:rRNA from 1 species
GUCAGCAGCCGCGGGAACACCGGCGGCCCGAGUGGUGAUCGUGAUUAUGGGUCUAAAGGGUCCGUAGCCGGUUUGGUCAGUCCUCCGGGAAAUCUGAUAGCUCAACUAUUAGGCUUUCGGGGGAUACUGCCAGACUUGGAACCGGGAGAGGUAAGAGGUACUACAGGGGUAGGAGUGAAAUCUUGUAAUCCCUGUGGGACCACCUGUGGCGAAGGCGUCUUACCAGAACGGGUUCGACGGUGAGGGACGAAAGCUGGGGGCACGAACCGGAUUAGAUACCCGGGUAGUCCCAGCCGUAAACGAUGCUCGCUAGGUGUCAGGCAUGGCGCGACCGUGUCUGGUGCCGCAGGGAAGCCGUGAAGCGAGCCACCUGGGAAGUACGGCCGCAAGGCUGAAACUUAAAGGAAUUGGCGGGGGAGCACAACAACGGGCGGAAGCCUGCGGUUUAAUCGGACUCAACGCCGGACAACUCACCGGGGGCGACAGCAAUAUGUAGGCCAAGCUGAAGACCUUGCCUGAAUCGCUGAGGGGAGGUGCAUGG